GACGAACGCUGGCGGCGUGCUUAACACAUGCAAGUCGAACGGAAAGGCCCUGCUUUUGUGGGGUGCUCGAGUGGCGAACGGGUGAGUAACACGUGAGUAACCUGCCCUUGACUUUGGGAUAACUUCAGGAAACUGGGGCUCAUACCGGAUAUGAGCUCCUGCUGCAUGGUGGUGGUUGGAAAGUUUCGGCGGUUGGGGAUGGACUCGCGGCUUAUCCGCUUGUUUGUGGGGUAGUGGCUUACCAAGGCUUUGACGGGUAGCCGGCCUGAGAGGGUGACCGGCGACAAUAGGACUGAGAUACGGCCCAGACUCGUACGGGAGGCAGCAGUGGGGAAUAUUGCACAAUGGGCGGAAGCCUGAGGCAGCAACGCCGCGUGCGGGAUGACGGCCUUCGGGUUGUAAACCGCUUUCGCCGGUGACGAAGCGUGAGUGACGGUAAUGAGUAAAGAAGCACCGGCUAACUACGUG
rnacentral:rRNA from 1 species